rnacentral:RNase_P_RNA from 1 species
UCCGCUCUUUUGAUGAUCGCCCCCUCUUUUAGAGGUGGGAGGAACGUCCGGGCACCAACGGAAUGCUAUGCGGGUAACACCCGUCGCCCCGUCCAUAAUCCAUAAAGACGUUGUAGGACCAGUGCCACAGAGACGAGUCCCCUUCGGGGGAAGUGAAACGCCUCGGAGUACCGAGGAUUCCCUAGGGAAUCGGUAAACUCAUGGUGGUGCAAGGAGGAUUUGGGUGAUUGGAAUCUGUACUGAUUCCGGUAUACCAAUUACCCCUCCGCGCUUGAGGUCGCAAGUAAUUGCGAUCCCAGAUAGAUGAUCAUCCCUGCCUCGGCAGCGACAGAACCCGGCGUAUAAAGAGCGGACCAA